AAUGUUAAUAUUGUCAUCUGCCGACAAGUUGAAAGAUAUGGAAGAUAAGUGUAACUCCGGGGAAUCGCACGGUGCAAAAACCAAAGAACCGGACUUUCUUUUAACAAGCAACACUUACAAAUCUAUUAAAGAAGACAGUUAUUAAACAAGGAAGAAAAAGAAGCUAUAGGCGAAGCGUAUAUACGCACCGAAAGAAUAAAAAAAUGAUGAUGCUGUGACAGAUGAAUAUCUAGAAAGUAGAGCGUCUUUUGUAGGACCAAGUCUUUCUGUAACAAUUAGAGUAUCUAAGCCUCCAAAAAUUAUCGGUAUUUUUCCUUCGAAUUUAUUUCCAUUUUAAACUAUUCAUUAACUUUUGUAAAUCAAAUAUACCUACGUUACAUAUUAGAUGUUGCCGACGGUUUGACAAACUUGGUUCUUCAAAAACGACUAGUCUACCCUAUGCAGGAUUUACAUGUCAUUCUAUAAUCCUUCUGGAAACACCGUCCGAUUUACGAAGAGAUACGACAAGACUUGCCACAGCCAAAGGUGCAUCAAUCGCUUGUGUAGAUGCCUCUCACAAGAGAAAGAAUGGUCAUUUUGGUCAAUCAAGGACCAAUGGGCCAGAUUUUCUUUCACCAAACACUCUCCUAUGUAUUAAAGAAAACAGUUCUUGAUCGAAAAGAAAAAGAGUUUAUACGCGAAGCGCGUGGCGUACCGGAAGUGUAAAGAAAUUGUGAGGCUGCGACAGAUGAAUGUCCAGAAAGUUGAUCGUCUUUUGUAGGACCAAGUCUUUCUGUAACAAUUGGAGCACUUAAGCUUGCAAAAAUUAUCGGUGUUGCCGGAGGUUUGACAAACUUGCUUUUUCAAAAGUGACGAACACAAUCAACCACUUGUAUGGCAAUGGUGUAAUGUAUAUUCGCAAUUGAAUUAUUUCAGGAUUUACAAAGAGAAACGGCAAGAUUUGCCAAAGAUGCAUCAACUCCUGUAGUGAUAUCGAUGCUUCUCAGAAAGAUUCUCCAUUUUUUUUUAUUCCUCUGGCACAUCACGCGUUUCGCAUAUAGCUUCUUUUCUUCUACGCAUAAUAACUCCGCUAGUGAGCAUAUAUAAUGAC